AUUGAACGCUGGCGGCAGGCCUAACACAUGCAAGUCGAACGGUAACAGGAAGAAGCUUGCUUCUUUGCUGACGAGUGGCGGACGGGUGAGUAAUGUCUGGGAAACUGCCUGAUGGAGGGGGAUAACUACUGGAAACGGUAGCUAAUACCGCAUAACGUCGCAAGACCAAAGAGGGGGACCUUCGGGCCUCUUGCCAUCGGAUGUGCCCAGAUGGGAUUAGCUAGUAGGUGGGGUAACGGCUCACCUAGGCGACGAUCCCUAGCUGGUCUGAGAGGAUGACCAGCCACACUGGAACUGAGACACGGUCCAGACUCCUACGGGAGGCAGCAGUGGGGAAUAUUGCACAAAGGGCGCAAGCCAGAUGCAGCCAUGCCGCGUGUAUGAAGAAGGCCUUCGGGUUGUAAAGUACUUUCAGCGGGGAGGAAGGGAGUAAAGUUAAUACCUUUGCUCAUUGACGUUACCCGCAGAAGAAGCACCGGCUAACUCCGUG
rnacentral:rRNA from 1 species